CUUGUACACACCGCCCGUCACACCAUGAGAGUUUGUAACACCCAAAGUCGGUGGGGUAACUUUUAGGAACCAGCCGCCUAAGGUGGGACAGAUGAUUAGGGUGAAGUCGUAACAAGGUAGCCGUAGAGAACCUGCGGCUGGAUCACCUCCUUU
rnacentral:rRNA from 1 species